CUAGCGACUUCAGAGUUUGAUCCUGGCUCAGGAUGAACGCUGGCGGCGUGCAUAACACAUUCAAGUCGAACGGAGCUAUUGAGAUUAAUCCUUCGGGAAGCGUCGAUGUAGCUUAGUGGCGGACGGGUGAGUAACGCGUGAGCAACCUGCCUCUAUGUGCGGGAUAACGUCGGGAAACUGACGCUAAUACCGCAUGACACAUUAGUACCGCAUGAUACAGAUGUCAAAGAUUUAUUGCAUAGAGAUGGGCUCGCGUCUGAUUAGAUAGUUGGUAAGGUAACGGCUUACCAAGUCAACGAUCAGUAGCCGGACUGAGAGGUUGAACGGCCACAUUGGAACUGAGAUACGGUCCAG
rnacentral:rRNA from 1 species